CAACUGGGCAUGGGUGGGAACGAGGAGAAGGACUGGGCCCGCUGUGUCACGACACUAGAGCUGUACGUCGUCACCAUCGUCGUCGCCGGCAGCCGCACCUGCACCUGCUUCCUUCCCUCGAAGCCAUCGAGAUUUCAUUUUUGUUACCCAACUCUCCCCCUUUCUACUCAGAUUUGUUUCUUUUCUUCCAUUGCCUUGCUCUUCUUGGUUCAUUAUUCUUGCUUUUCCCUCUUUGAUUUCACUUUUGUUACCAAGUUCUUCCCCUUCCUCCGUCGCUGACGCAGUAGGCCUCCCAUCAUGUUCAGCUACUCCUCUCCGGGUGACCACCAAUGUGAAACCAAGUGGAUUCCUCGCUCCCCCCCACCAAUGCGGUGAUGGACACGGGUAGUCGGACAGUGGUCGGUGUGCUGCUCGAUGACAGGACCCGGUGUCUCCUCCCUCGAUCAAGUGAUGGUGUGUUCACAUCUUGGUGUGCAGUGAUAGAUGCCGUGAGGUGACGACUAAGGCUUCGGCGCCAGGAUUGAGGAUUUGAACUCACCGGCGGGACGAGAUCAUGUUCCAUCAUGCACAGUCCUGAAGGGCUAGGGCAGGUGAAAAGCUCGGUUAGGCUUCUGCACCAAAGGAGCCUCCUAAGACGGAGAUGAUGGCCAGGAGAAGAAACUAUUCAACAAGACUAAUACUACCACAAAUAAAGAGAAAACAUUCAAGAUGUUUGCAGGAAUGACCUAUGGUCCUCAGACAUAUUAAUCUACGUUUGUGCCGGGAACAUUCCGACAACAGAGAAAAAGAAGAUGGUAAGGCCAUGCUAAUUUCAGUAAUACAACUAACAAAGCUACAGAUUAGCUUUAUAUGCAUUCUAAUAUGUCUUCAUAAUCGCAGUCCUUCUCAAAAAAGUUUAUUGAUCUCAAUCUAAUGGUAGAUCCCAGUCAAUUACGCAUAUGCAGGUUACAACAGUAGACCAAAAACUUGCAGCAACAAUAUAUUUUGCCAUGUACGCUAAUGGCAGGGCAAUCCUAAUAUCAGAAUAAGCUCUUUUCGUGGACGUGUCCUAUUCAGAGCUAGCCAAUCCAGCCAUCCAUGUGAAUCGUGUCUUGAUAGGAAUCCAAAAAGAGCUCUUUAUUGCAGGUAUUUGUUAUCAUCCUCCUCCUCCUCAUAUCUCAAGUCUUAUUUGUUUCAAGAUUAUAGUAUGCUUUGCUAAUGCAAGGUGGUGGGCACGCAUCUCGCAUAUAUUUGAGCCUCUUUCAAAUUUUAAAUAUUGUGCAUUGGUCAAAUAUUGCAUUCUCGCUUUAAUGAUAUGAUAGGAUAUUUUCUUCCAGCCGAUUUAUUUCUCUGUGAGGUGCAAGUAUUCAGUUUGUUUUUUAUGUCGUUUGUUAAACCAGAUGCACAUCUAUAUACAUCAAGAUUUUUCAUUUUGAUUAAAAUCUAAAUCAUGCAUCAUCAUCAGACUGCAGUAUAUGGUGCCCUGCCCGAUACCAUGUAGGCAGAUGCUUGGCAAGGGAUUAAAAAGGGCUCCAAGCAAAAUAGUUUAGAUAUGCCACCCUGGGUUUCUAAAAAAGAUAGACCCAGCUCGCAUCGUUCCUGUAUGAAGCCUUAUAGUGUUAAAGUUACUUAUUAUAGGAAUUUAAUCGUUACAUUGUUGUGUCCAUAUUUUAAAAUCAUUUAAACGUAUGUAGGACUUUCUAUAGAUAGGUUACCAUGCGGUUCAUCUGAGAACAUAGGUCCCAUGUAGUAUUUAGUCCUAAAAAAGAUAGUAUUUUAAUUUGUCAUUAUGGAUGCCUUUUUCCUCCAUCUUUAUGAGCCGUUCGUCAUCUUCCAUCUUUAGUUUGACAUUAUGGAUUAAUAGUGAUUAUUGAAAGGAUGUUAGACUUCUUGUUUAAAAAAAAAAUUGACUGCAUAAAGUAUAAUAGCUUAUCUAUUUCUUGCUUUACUUCCAUUUUAAAGCUCCUCGCUUCUCAAAGAAAUAUUUCUGUCACUCUUUGCUCGACAAGUAGAUGUGCCUUAACUGCCCAGCAAUGCCAACAACCUGAUAUUACAUGGAACCAAUUCUCGAUAUAUGUCGAUGUGCUAUAUUUUGUUGAAAGAUGGUAGACAUGACUCCCACAAAUGCCGUGUUUAUAUCAAAGUGAUAGUCC